rnacentral:ncRNA from 20 species
AUCUUAUCCAGAGAGGUGGAGGGACUGGCCCUAUGAAACCCGGCAACCAGUAUAUUUAUAUACAAUGGUGCUAAAUCCUGCGGCGAAAGCUGAGAGAUGAGUA